CGCCAGGUCGCGCACAGCUCCCCGAGCCCAGGCGCCUCCCCGCCCCCUCCCCGCGCUCCGCGGCGGCGGCGGCGGCAGCAGUAGCAGCAAUAUGGCUGUUGAUGGGUGUUCGGGGUGGCGCUGGCGGCGGGAGGAGCUCCCCCGAGCCCCUGCGCCGGCUGCCCGUUGCUAGCUAUGGCAAAUGGUGGCGGCGGCGGCGGUAGCAGCGGCGGCGGCGGCGGCGGCGGCGGAGGCAGCACUCUUAGAAUGAGUAGCAAUAUCCACGCGAACCUUCUCAGCCUAGACGCGUCCUCCUCCUCCUCCUCUUCCUCCUCCUCUUCUUCCUCCUCCUCUUCCUCCUCGUCCUCGGUCCACGAGCCCAAGAUGGAUGCGCUCAUCAUCCCGGUGACCAUGGAGGUGCCGUGCGACAGCCGGGGCCAGCGCAUGUGGUGGGCUUUCCUGGCCUCCUCCAUGGUGACUUUCUUCGGGGGCCUCUUCAUCAUCUUGCUCUGGCGGACGCUCAAGUACCUGUGGACCGUUUGCUGCCACUGCGGGGGCAAGACGAAGGGUUGUUCGUGGCUGCGGCUGGGGCCGGGGUGAGAGGUAGGGAGAGCCGACUCGGCGGGCACCGAGCAAGCUGGGGGCCGCUCGGUGCGCGUUCCGCGCGGCUCACCUGCCGGGGCUCGGCUCCUUGUGGUGGGCGAGGGGGAGCACGUCAGCCCGCACUUUAGAAACCUGUUGGGGAGAUGAGUUCGGAAAAUCAGAAGGGCAGGAAAAUCCUUUGAGAAAGGGAGGACAUCUUUUGGACUGGGGGAUCCCAGGGGAGGAACAUGACCAGAGGACGUGCGGGGGACCUGGAGGGGUCCCCGGAAAUGCCCCCGGCAGCGUGGAGCUAGAGCCGGAGGUCCGCCCGAGAGCCCGCCGAGGCCGAGGUUUUCACGCGAGCCUCCUCCCUGACGCUUUUGAGGUGGCUCGAUGUCGGCUUUAA